CGGGACGGGUGAGUAAUGUCUGGGGAAACUGCCUGAUGGAGGGGGGUAACUACUGGAAACGGUAGCUAAUACCGCAUAACGUCGCAAGACCAAAGGGGGGGACCUUCGGGCCCUCUUGCCAUCGGAUGUGCCCAGAUGGGAUUAGCUAGUAGGUGGGGUAACGGCUCACCUAGGCGACGAUCCCUAGCUGGUCUGAGAGGAUGACCAGCCACACUGGAACUGAGACACGGUCCAG
rnacentral:rRNA from 1 species